AGCACUUAGGGUUUUAUCAUGCAUGCAGAAAAUACCUAAAGAUUCCUACUUUUUACCAUCAUCCUAGACCUAAUCCCCAUUAUUCUUAAGCAAAUACACAGUUAAGAAUAUCAAGUGAACAUACCUUAUUUCCGACGUUUGGUAUCGAUCCCUCUUCAGGCUUGGUCACUCUUUGACUGCAACUCUCCUCCCAAGGCUGACCUGCAUUCAUAAAAUGCAAACAAAGAAUUCCACAUGCAUUUGAUCUACAUAUUAAUGGGUUAGAGAUUUAAUCAAGAUGUACGCAAUAAACAAUGGAAACCUCAUAUGGUGGGACAUGAAAAGUACUUCUUUAUUAUUAACUUCACUAAAGCAACUUACAAUGAUGAAGAUGACCACUUCUCCAUGAAUUUGGUCCUGGGAUCCUCUUUUACUGUGCACCAACUGCUAACACACUUGCUUCUCUUCUUCGUUGAAAUCACAAAAUGGUUGCAGAAUCUUGGGCAAAGGGGAAUACGAAUUCAGGUAGAGUUUCUUUACUAUGAUUUUCCUCCUUUCAAAUGGGACCCCUACCCCUUCUUUUAUAGGCUAUAAGGAGCUAGGUAUUUUUCGAAUGACUGGCCAUGCAUGGUCAAAAGGUUUAGUUAACUUACCCAAAACUAUGUGUUCCAUCAACAACUUUCCAUUUUUCAUGCUUUUGUAGGUACACGUGGGUUGUAGUGGGUCAUCUAGAGUGUACACAUGGGUUGUAGUGGAGCAGGGUGAGUGGGCCUUUAAAAAGGGUGGUUUUAAGAAGAGUUGUUCAGUACUAUAUUGGAUAUGGUCUGAUGUUAGGUAAGUAUGUCUGGUGCAAAUUAGGGUUAUAAAAACAAUGUGAUUUAUGCCCAGUGCUCUGAAUGUCAAAGUGAAGAAAUUCAACCAAGCACGGGUAAAUGACGGGAGUAACUAUGACUCUCUUAAGGUAUCCAAAUACCUCUUCAUCUAAUUAGUGAUGUGCAUGAAUGGAUUAACGAGAUUCCCACUAUCCCUAUCUACUAUCUAGUGAAACCACAACCAAGGGAACGGGCUUGGCAGAAUCAUCGGGGAAAGAAGACCCUAUUGAGAUUGACUCUAGUCCGACUUUGUGAAAUGACUUGAGAGGUGUAGAAUAAGUGGGAGCCGUUUUUGGUGCAAUUGAAAUACCACUACUUUUAACGUUAUUUUACUUAUUCCGUGGGGCAGAGAUGGGGCAUCGCCCCUAUUUUUGGCCUUAAGACACGUUUUGACGGGUCAAUCCAGGUGGAAGACAUUGUCAGGUGGGGAGUUUGGCUUGGGAGACACAUCUGUUAAAAGAUAAUGCAGGUGUCCUAAGAUGAUCUCAACGAGAACAUAAAUCUCGUGUGGAACAAAAGGGUAAAAGCUCAUUUGAGUUUUAUUUUUAGUACGAAUACAAACCGUGAAAGCGUGGCCUAUCAAUCCUUUAGACUUUCAGAAUUUGAAGCUAGAGGUGUCAUUAAAUUUAAUACAGGGAUAACUGGCUUGUGGUAGCCAAGCGUUCAUAUCGACGUUGAUUUUUGAUCCUUCGAUGCCGACUUUUCCUAUCAUUGUGAAGCAUAAUUCACCAAGUGUUGGAUUGUUCACCCACCAAUAGGGAAUGUGAGUUGGGUUUAGACCAUCAUGAGACAGGUUAGUUUUACCCUACUGAUGAACCAUGCCACAAUAGUAAUUCAACUUAGUAUAAGAGGAACCGUUGAUUCACACAAUUGGUCAUCGUGCUUGGUUGAAACGCCAGUGGCGCUAAGCUACCGUGUGUCGGAUUAUGACUGAACGCAUCUAAGUCAGAAUCCACACUAGAGGCGGUGCUUGUCACUCCUCGACUGUAUAUUAACCCAUAGUAGAGGUGUUGCUUCGACAACCCUAGGGGCCCGUGUCACUUAUGAACCUCGUCUGGGAAGCGUCUUGGUUGGGGCAGCUUUGAAGUUCAAUUUAAAACUGUCGUUGAGAAGAAUCCUUUGUAGAUGACUUAAAUAUGUGACGAGGUAUUGUAAGUGGUAGAGUGGCCUUGCUGCCAUGAUCCACUGAGAUUCAACCCUUUGUCACCUUGAUUAAGAGCCUAUGCUCAUUC
rnacentral:rRNA from 1 species